AAUCCAGGGUCUUUAUAAACCUUAUAUGGAUUUGCACUCCAAAAUCUGGACUGGGUAGGGGAGGGGAACCUCCGUCAAUAAGUUUACAGCUUACCACCUGU
rnacentral:tRNA from 1 species